rnacentral:rRNA from 1 species
UAAUACCAGCAGUUCAAGUUGCAUCCCUUUUUAUUGGGUCUAAAACAUCCGUAGCUUGCCGUUUAAGUCUCUUGUGAAAUCCCACGUCUCAAGCGUGGUGAAGUGCAGGAGAUACUGAACGGCUAGAGAUCGGUAGACGUAAGAAGUACGCCACGGGUAACGGUCAAAUGUGUUAAUCCGUGGUGGACUAACGAUGAGCGAAGGCAUCUUACGAGGACGAAUCUGACAGUGAGGGAUGAAGGCCAGGGGCGCAAAACGGAUUAGAUACCCGUGUAGUCCUGGCAGUAAACACUGUUCACUAAACAUCGGGCCCUCUUCGGGAGGAUUCGGUGCUGAAGGGAAGCCGAAGAGUGAACUACCUGGGAAGUAUAGUCGCAAGAUCG